UCACUUACCAUGUCAGGAUCAUUUUAUUACUAGAGCGGCUGUCUGUGUGGUGCAAGGAGAACAACCUGAUCCUGAACACCUCAAAGACAAAGGAGAUGGGGGUCGACUACAAGAGGAGGAAAACAAAUAUUCAGCCACUGGUCAUUGGUGGGGACUGUGUGGAGAGGGUCUCUGACUUCCGGUUUCUGGGCGUGCACCUGAGGGAUGACCUGACUUGGAGCACCAACACCAUGACUACCAUCAAGAAGGCACAGGGUUCUCAGUAACAACCAUCUUCCACAGAGACUGCUGUUGGCCUUCUAUGCUGCUCCGUAGAGAGCAUUCUGACUUACUGUGUGUGUGUGUGUGUUUAUGUGGUUUUCCAGCUGCACGGUUGCAGACAGGAAAGCUCUCCAGAGGGUUGUCACCACAGCCCAAAGAUCACCAGCUGUCCCCUGCCUUCACUAGAGGAACUGUACACUUGUCGUUGUCUCAGGAAGGCAAAUACAACAGUUA